GACUACCGGUAUUGUACAAAGCUGACAGAAGCUUGUCUUUCCAGUCAGGGGCAAAUGUCGAAAUGUGAACUGCUUCGAAUACUCAGGCGACAAUGUGUAUGUUGCGGUUACAACAAACUCUGAUGAUGUGUAGGUGAAGAUGCGUCUUCAUAUAUGUUACACAAAACCUGAUCCUAAUGCGGAUGCAAGAGUAACAUAUCCUUUAAUACAAAACGGAUGUGUGGUAGAUCCCGAAACUCAUAUUUUUUCACAAGGAACACACGAGACCCGGUUUGUCUUCAGUGCAUUUGAAUUCCCCCAGACUCAUAACAGCGUGUAUAUUUUCUGUAACUCCACGUUCUGUAAGACUACGGACACUAGCGACAUGUGCACGCAAAUUUGUCACGGCUCACCGUCACUUAUGGGACGCUCACUGUGGACAUUGGAAUCAGAGCGCGAGAAAAAAUCAAAUUACCUUAAUGUAUUUCCCUAAUACAUGUAUAAAUAAAAUGAUUAAUAUAAUUGACUUUGUUGAAUAUACUUUUGGUUAACCUGAUUUUAUUUUGAAGACCCUGUCGAAGUAGUGAAUUCAGGUAAACAGCAUCAGUACUUUUUGUAAUCCAGAAUC